CACGUCAGCGUGUCGGGUAGCUGGAGGAUGAAGCCGCAUGCAGCUCCUGUGUGUCUCUCGGAGCCUCUCAGAGGGCAGUGUGUGAUUUGCACCGGGUGGGAAACGAUCUUCCCAUGACCGCUCUGACUCGCUCCAGCUGCUCUUCUUCAUCACCCACCUUCACCCUCGGACCAACUGAUUGAGCUCUUCCACAGCCGUCAUGUCCUGGUUGUUCUUGGACUGGUUCGUGCCCCUCUACCUGCUGGUGUCGGUGCUGGUGCUGGCAGGCUUCGGAGCGUGUCUGUACUUCCUCGAGCCCGGGCUGCAGGACGCCCACAAAUGGAGCAACAAAACGAUCCGGCAUCACCCGCUGGUGGCCAGCGUGAACUGCAGAGAUGACGAUAGCAAUGCCCUGAUCUGAUCCGACGAUGGAGAGAGGUGGCCGGCGGAGGACGCGUCCAGACAGUGUGGGGGGGGGGAGAAAGGGCCCGGGGGAGAGAGGGGGGUGGGGGGGGGGGGGGAGAACACCUUGACAACGAAAAGAGGAGCAGGAUGAGGGAUCAUUUAUCAUUCCAACUUUUCUUUGCUCUCUGUGGAUUUUCCCGGCAGGGAUCAAAGAAAGUAAGGCAGAUAUGCUGGACUGCAGAAGAAGAUCGUGAUUUGAUU